GAUGAACGCUGGCGGCGUGCCUAAUACAUGCAAGUCGAGCGAACAGACGAGGCUCUUGCUCCUCUGACGUGGGCGGCGGACGGGUGAUUAACACGUGUAUACCCUACCUAUAAGACUGGGAUAACUUCGGGAAACCGGAUCUAACACCGGAUAAUAUAUUGAACCGCAGGGUUCAUUAGUGAAAUACGUUUUUGAUGACCCUUAUUGAGGUUUCCUCGCCGCAUUAGCUAGUUGGUAGGGUAACGGCUUACCAAGGCUACGAUGCGUAGCCGACCUGAGAGGGUGAUCAGCCACACUGGAACUGAGACACGGUCCAGACUCCUACGGGAGGCAGCAGUAGGGAAUAUUGCGCAAUGGGCGAAAGCCUGACGGAGCAACGCCGCGUGAGUGAUGAAGGUCUUCGGAUUGUAAAACUCUGUUAUUUGGGAAGAACAAAUGUGUAAGUAAAUAUGCACGUCUUGACGGUACCUAAUCAGAAAGCCACGGCUAACUACGUG
rnacentral:rRNA from 1 species